rnacentral:lncRNA from 1 species
GAAAAAUAUUGGGCAGCCAGACAAAUAUGGCAAAUGCCCACUACAAAUUCUUUUGAGAAUCUCAUGAAAUUCUUGUACUCUGUCAACAGAAAAAAGCAAAAAUACUCAUUCUCAACUUUUGUUGUUGCUGUUGUUAAAUAUGGACAUAUAGAACUUACUCUUGCAAUCUCAGAGCAGUAGAUACAUAAAAAGCACAUUCUAAGAUAUAAUUUUCUUAAACAUUUAGUGAGUAAAUAGUCUGAAGCAACUCUAGUGAAAAUAUCCUUUGUCCUCCUUUUCUCUGGCACCUUGAAGUUCUGGGAGGCAUUCUUACUUUCUUUUCUCAAAAGAUUUCUUAGAUCAAUUUGACUUCUUUUCCUGCCAUUUUAGCACCUUAAUCCCUCUAUCCUUUACAGAUUAAACUCUUUUCUAUAAGCUCUCUUGAUUCAUUGACCCUCCCACAACGCUACUAUUUCAGUAAUAUUCCUUUAAAAAUUGUGGCUUAUUCCUUUUAUUCACAAGACAAAGAAGUGGAGAGGAGGCAAAGAUGAAACACUGCAAUGCUCUAGCAAGAGAUCAGAGAGAUAGCAUUCAUGGAAUUUUAAAAAUAUAUUGAUCAGUGUGUGUACCUAGGUCAAGAGUUACUCAGUUAUACGAUAAGAUAGUAUUAAGAUGUAAGCAUAUUAUAUUAUGCAAUAUUUUUUGCAUACAAAGUACUAUGUAUAAUAUGCAUGUAAGAUCUAAAACAUAUUAAAAUUUACACCUAUUAGCGUACCAUUCAAUUUAAACCUGGAAUAUUAAUGAUAAGUUUGCCAGCACCUGUAUGUUCCUCGAUUUCCCAUUUUCUUGCCUCUAGUUAAAUGUGGUUGUUUAUCAAAAAUUACCUUUCUAUCGUAGUUUUAUCAUAAAUUGCAUAAGUUUUUAUCAAUGUAUUUUUUAUUGUGUUUGAUUUUUAGCCUUUUACAAAUGGCAUCUUACUUUACUCAUCUAGAAUUGACCAUUCUCACACAGCAUUGCAUAUUUUAGGCUCAGUAACGUUGUUUUAG